UCUUAAUAGAGUUGAAUACUUUCUCUGUUUGGUUCUGGGCUGUGUGCGAUUCGCUGUUUGUUGUGUCUGUGUUUGUAUCGGGAUCAGUCUGUGGCAUUUGAUUGGUUGACUAUUCAAAGGAGGAAAAGCAGUGAACGUACUCUUCUUUGUCCGGACGCCGUGAAAUAAAACUUCACCCUUUUUUAUUCGAGUUGGAGAAGACAUUACGCUGUGUUUUUGUUUUCUGUAUUUUAUUUCCAUUACACAAGAAGUGGGAGAGGGCCAGAGGCUGUUCUUUGGAAUUUUCGUCGUUUCUUUCUUUCUUGCUUUUGUUUUGCUUCUUUUUUUUUCCCCAUUUUUGGAGAGCCUUGCUUGCCUCUCAGAAUAGAGUAUUCGGAUUUCCUCAUUUCAAAUUCUGGGUCUGCAUGACCUUCUCUCUUCCUAGUUUCUAGCGUACAAAUAGGUCUCUACCCGGGUGAGUGGGAAGAGAGUGAGAGAGCUGUUUUGCAGUUGUUAGGAGGUUUGCUUGGUUAGGAGGUUUAAAUAAGCAAAACAAUGCUGUAAUUGAUAAACUAAAAAGUUUUUCGGAACUCCUUUUAUUUUCUUACUAAAAAAAUGACAAUACUUUAUAUUUAUGCGUAUACAUCAUUUUGGGUUUUCUAGCUUAGAUAUGAAGGGGGGUAACACAGAAACAAGAAGAAGAGGAGACAAAAGAGCAAGAGGGGUGAAAGGGAGUUUAGUACCAAUGGGUCUGAAGAUGCAGCAGGGCCACCAUCAGUCUGUCGCUGUGAGAUUGAAUGGGCAAAUGGGGACCAAAAGAGGGUACACAUUCAUUCAAGCCAACAGGGCUUGGCUCCCAAAGUUUCUGCUGCUUUGGAUCAUGGCGAUGGCAUUCUUGAGCAUGACCAUAUACAGUAGGAUGGAUGCCGAUAAUAAAGUGCGAAGGAAGGAGGUACUAGGAAGCAUGUGUGAUCAGAGAGCUAGGAUGUUGCAAGAUCAAUUUAGUGUUUGCGUUAAUCAUGUUCACGCUCUCGCCAUCCUCGUUUCCACCUUCCAUUAUUACAAGAACCCUUCAGCAAUUGAUCAGGGAACUUUUGCCGAGUACACAGCUAGAACCGCUUUUGAGCGGCCAUUACUGAGUGGGGUAUCCUAUGCACAGAGAGUGAUUAAUUCGGAAAGGGGAAAUUUUGAGAGGCAAAAUGGUUGGACGAUAAAGACAAUGGAGACGGAGCCUUCACCUGUGCGAGACGAGUACGCUCCUGUCGUAUAUUCUCAGGAAAGCGUUUCUUACCUUGAAUCACUUGACAUGAUGUCUGGAGAGGAAGACAGAGAAAACAUUUUGAGGGCGAGGGCUACUGGGAAAGCCGUUUUGACAAGCCCUUUCAGGCUGCUGGGAUCUCAUCAUCUUGGUGUUGUGCUGACAUUCCCGGUUUACAAAUCGAAGCUCUCUUUGAGCCCAACAGUUCAAGAGCGCAUCGAAGCAACUGCAGGAUAUGUUGGUGGAGCCUUUGAUGUUGAGUCCCUUGUGGAGAAUUUGCUUGGCCAACUUGCUGGGAAUCAGGCGAUUUUAGUGAAUGUAUAUGAUGUCACCAACUCCUCUGAUCCCCUGAUCAUGUAUGGUCACCAAUAUCGAGAUGGUGACACCUAUCUCUUACAUGAGAGCAAGCUUGAUUUUGGAGAUCCUUUUCGGAAGCAUCAAAUGAUAUGUAGAUACCAUCAGAAGGCACCUGUGUCGUGGACAGCACUCAGCACGGCGCUUUUGUUCUUCGUGAUUGGUUUACUAGUAGGUUAUAUCUUACAUGGUGCAGGAAUUCACAUUGUUAAAGUCGAAGAUGAUUUCCAGGAAAUGGAGGAGUUGAAAGUUCGAGCAGAAGCUGCAGAUGUUGCGAAAUCACAGUUUCUAGCUACUGUUUCUCAUGAAAUUAGAACACCCAUGAAUGGCAUCCUUGGAAUGCUUGCACUGCUUUUAGAUACAGAGCUGAGUUCAACUCAGAGGGAUUAUGCUCAAACUGCACGAGCCUGUGGGAAGGCACUUAUAGCAUUAAUUAAUGAGGUGCUUGACCGGGCAAAAAUUGAGGCUGGCAAGUUAGAGCUGGAAGCAGUUCCAUUUGACCUCAGAUCAAUACUAGAUGAUGUCCUCUCUUUAUUUUCCGAGAAGUCUAGACACAAAGGCAUUGAGCUGGCAGUGUUUGUUUCCGAUAAAGUUCCUGAAAUCGUAGUGGGUGAUCCAGGGAGGUUCAGGCAGAUUAUUACAAAUCUUGUGGGCAACUCUGUUAAAUUCACCGAACGUGGACAUGUACUUGUUAAAGCUCAUCUAGCUGAACAAACAAUGGCCAUGGUAAAUAAAAAUGCUGAAACUUGUCUGAAUGGUAAAUCAGAUGGAGGUCUAUUUGUAUCUGGUGGUCAUCAGUUUAAAAACUUGAGCGGUUGUGAAGCUGCUGAUGAGCGGAAUAGUUGGGAUAUGUUUAAGCAUCUAAUUGCUGAUGAAGAGUUCUGUUCUGAUGCUUCACCUAACAUAAUGAACGCAAAUGAAGUGGCUGAACAUGUCACUUUGAUGGUAUGUGUGGAGGAUACUGGAAUUGGGAUUCCACUUUCAGCCCAGGAUCGGGUUUUCAUGCCCUUCAUGCAGGCAGAUAGCUCAACCUCUCGACAUUAUGGAGGAACUGGUAUCGGCCUGAGCAUCAGCAGGUGUCUGGUUGAGCUAAUGGGUGGUCAGAUAAAUUUCAUAAGCCGACCUCAGGUUGGCAGCACAUUUUCAUUCACUGCUGUUUUUGAAAGGUGCAAGAAAGAUGCUUUCUGUGAUAUAAAAAAACCUAAAUACGAAGAUUUGCCUUCUGGUUUUAGAGGAUUAAAAGCAUUAGUAGUUGAUGAGAAACCAGUUAGAGCUGCUGUAACUAGGUACCAUUUACAGAGACUAGGUAUCCUCGUUGAAGUUUCUAGUAGCAUCAAGAUUGCAGUUGCUAUGUGCGGAAAGAAUGGUUCUUUGACAUCUCGAAACUUCCAGCCAGAUUUAAUUCUUGUUGAGAAGGAAUCAUGGAAGUCUGGUGAGGAAGCAGGUCUGAAUGUUCAACUAUUAGACUGGAAACAGAAUGGGAAUAUGUUUCAGGCGCCUAAGCUGAUUCUUCUCGCAACCAAUAUUGUUGAUGCCGAAUUUGAGAAAUCAAAGGCAGCAGGUUUUGCAGAUACUGUGAUCAUGAAACCUUUGAGGGCAAGUAUGGUUGCUGCAUGUCUUCAACAGGUGCUUGGGAUAGGGAAGAAGACACGGCAGGGGAAAGAGAUGCCUAAUGGAUCUUCUUACCUUCAGAACCUGCUUUGUGGCAAGAAAAUUUUAGUUGUUGAUGACAAUAGGGUUAACCGCAGGGUUGCUGCAGGUGCGCUGAAGAAGUUUGGAGCUGAUGUGGAGUGCGUUGAGAGUGGGAAAGCUGCUCUGGCAUUGCUUCAACUACCACAUCAUUUUGAUGCCUGCUUCAUGGAUAUUCAAAUGCCUGAAAUGGACGGGUUUGAGGCCACUCGUCGAAUACGCCUAAUCGAGAGUAAUGCUAAUGAGCAAGUGAAUGGUGGAGCUAAUGAUAUAGGCACUAUUAGGAGAGAGUGGCAUGUGCCAAUAUUGGCCAUGACAGCCGACGUGAUUCAUGCCACAUAUGAUGAGUGCCUGAAAUGUGGGAUGGAUGGGUAUGUCUCGAAGCCUUUUGAGGAAGAGAAUCUUUACCAGGCGGUUGCAAAGUUCUUCAAAUCCAAAUCCAUGCCUGACUUAUAACAAGAAUUUCCAGUCACAUUACUGGCAAACCUGAAGUGGCAGCUCAUGUGGGAUGAAAAGUACCAGAAAUUGAAUGCUUUGUAUAUUUCGUUUUCCUACAGAUAGCAAUGGUGGGUUUCCUUGAAUGCAAAGAAGUCCUCAACUGACAUCGUUUACAGUUUCCACGACCAUUCCUCCUGAAAUGGUAGAAGUUGUAACAGGAUUUGAAGAGGACUAUGGGAAAGCACAAGCAGGAGGGUCCCCCCACAAUUAAGGAAGCCCCUAAAAGCCCUAAACGCUCUACGGAGCCAACCGUAGAGGAAAGGCUGAAGCCAGUCGAUAAGUUUAUUAGCGAAGUACUUAAACUCUUCGAGAACUUGCAGAAGAUCGCAGCGAAAGACAAGCCCAAUUAGGAUGUGUUUUGGGGAUUCCCUUAUGAACAAUGAUUUGGAUAUGUGGUAAACUAAGUACUAAGGAUUGUGGUUUAAAACCCUUAUUUUGUAUUUUGGA